rnacentral:rRNA from 1 species
CCUUCGGGACUAGGGGUGAGGCUGAACGCUCGAUCCGAUCGGGUAGUAGGUAAGCGAUGGGGUGACGCAGGAAGGUAGUCCAGCCCAGGCGAUGGUUGUCCUGGGGUAAGCAUGUAGGGCGGAACGUAGGUAAAUCCGCGUUCUAUUCAGCCUGAGAUGUGAUGCCGAGCCGAUUGUGGUGAAGUGGAUGAUCCUAUGCUGCCGAGAAAAGCCUCUAGUGAGUGUUGUGGCGGCCCGUACCCUAAACCGACUCAGGUGGUCAGGUAGAGAAUACCAAGGCGAUCGGGUGAACUGUGGUUAAGGAACUCGGCAAAUUGCCCCCGUAACUUCGGGAGAAGGGGGACCUCUGCUGGUGAUGGGCUUUACGUUCUGAGCUGGUGGGGGUCGCAGUGGCCAGGGGGAAGCGACUGUUUACUAAAAACACAGGUCCGUGCGAAGUCGUAAGACGAUGUAUACGGACUGACGCCUGCCCGGUGCCGGAACGUUAAGGGGACCGCUUAGCCAGCUUCGGUUGGCGAAGGUGAGAACUUAAGCGCCGGUAAACGGCGGUGGUAACUAUAACCAUCCUAAGGUAGCGAAAUUCCUUGUCGGGUAAGUUCCGACCUGCACGAAUGGCGUAACGACUUCCCCGCUGUCUCAACCACAGACCCGGCGAAAUUGCACUACGAGUAAAGAUGCUCGUUUCGCGCAGCAGGACGGAAAGACCCCGGGACCUUCACUACAGCUUGACAUUGGCGUUUGGAACGUCUUGUGUAGGAUAGGUGGGAGACUGGGAAGCUGUCACGCUAGUGAUGGUGGAGUCAUUGGUGAAAUACCACUCUGGUCGUUUUGAACGUCUAACUCUGGUCCGUGAUCCGGAUCGGGGACAGUGUCUGGUGGGUAGUUUAACUGGGGCGGUUGCCUCCUAAAGAGUAACGGAGGCGCCCAAAGGUUCCCUCAGCCUGGUUGGCAAUCAGGUGUUGAGUGUAAGUGCACAAGGGAGCUUGACUGUGAGACUGACAGGUCGAGCAGGAGCGAAAGCUGGGACUAGUGAUCCGGCAUCGGCGUGUGGAAGCGGUGUCGCUCAACGGCUAAAAGGUACCCCGGGGAUAACAGGCUGAUCUUCCCCAAGAGUCCAUAUCGACGGGAUGGUUUGGCACCUCGAUGUCGGCUCGUCGCAUCCUGGGGCUGGAGUAGUCCCAAGGGUUGGGCUGUUCGCCCAUUAAAGCGGUACGCGAGCUGGGUUUAGAACGUCGCGAGACAGUUCGGUCCCUAUCCGCUGCGCGCGCAGGAGACUUGAAGGGGGCUGUCCCUAGUACGAGAGGACCGGGACGGACGAACCUCUGGUGUGCCAGUUGUACCGCCAGGUGCACGGCUGGUUGGCUACGUUCGGAAGGGAUAACCGCUGAAAGCAUCUAAGCGGGAAGCUCGCCUUGAGAUGAGGUCUCCCACCCUGUGAGGGGGUAAGGCUCCCGGUAGAUCACCGGGUUGAUAGGCCGGAGGUGGAAGCACGGUAACGUGUGGAGCUGUCCGGUACUAACAGGCCGAGGACUUGAUC